UCCUGACUUCUGGCCUGAGGGGUUCUGCUGGCUCCAUCCUGGCCAGUGAGCUUGAUCUCCUCUUAGAGAGGAGCAAAGAGCCAUUACAGGUUGUGUAUUUGUAUAUGGAGUAUGCAGGUCUUUUGUGGAUGUUCUGUUGCAUAAAUGUCAGCUGCAAGGAGGAUUAUGGCCUGGCACUGGUUGAUGGCUCACUCUUUGCCCCUAUCAGCA
rnacentral:lncRNA from 1 species